rnacentral:rRNA from 1 species
GACGAACGCUGGCGGCGUGCUUAACACAUGCAAGUCGAACGGAAAGGCCCUGCUUUUGUGGGGUGCUCGAGUGGCGAACGGGUGAGUAACACGUGAGUAACCUGCCCUUGACUUUGGGAUAACUUCAGGAAACUGGGGCUAAUACCGGAUAGGAGCUCCUGCUGCAUGGUGGGGGUUGGAAAGUUUCGGCGGUUGGGGAUGGACUCGCGGCUUAUCAGCUUGUUGGUGGGGUAGUGGCUUACCAAGGCUUUGACGGCUAGCCGGCCUGAGAGGGUGACCGGCCACAUUGGGACUGAGAUACGGACCAGACUCCUACGGGAGGCAGCAGUGGGGAAUAUUGCACAAUGGGCGGAAGCCUGAUGCAGCAACGCCGCGUGCGGGAUGACGGCCUUCGGGUUGUAAACCGCUUUCGCCUGUGACGAAGCGUGAGUGACGGUAAUGGGUAAAGAAGCACCGGCUAACUACGUG